CGGCCGCGCCGGCUUCCAUCCAAGGCUGCCCGCGCGCCCGGCUCCCUUUCCUUGCACGACGCCAGAUGGAUAUUCUACGCGGCAAUCUCGGCGCUCGCCCUCCCCCGCGGGGCAAUCUCGGUGUCCCGCACGGCAAUCUCGGCCCCGCCAUCCUCGCCCCCCAAUUGCUCGAUCAGGCAUAGAUGGAAAUCCUUGGCGCAUCCGCCCCCUCGCAUCCCCCACGCAUGUGCCUGCUCCCAUCCCCCCGACCUCGCGAGAUAGUCGCCUCGGCCCUCCUCGCAGACACCCUCUUUGAGUUCCAGGCUUCCAAGGUCCAACCUUCUCCUCUCUGAGGCCGUAGCAUUUGUUUGGUUAGAUUGGGUUGUUCCGUUUGGGUAGCCGGUGGGAUCGAAAUCUGUGCAGCACCCAUGGCGGUAGUCGAGGGGAUGAAGAAGGAAAUCAUCAACACCGACCCCGGAAUUGAUGACACGAUGGCCAUCUUCCUGGCGCUGCGGUCGCCGGAGCUGGAGGUGCUGGGCCUCACCACUACCUUCGGCAACGUCCACACCGCCCUCGCCACGCGCAACGCGCUCCACCUGGUGCCGCCGCCUACCUUCCUUCCUCUCUCUCCCCCCACCCUGCUGGUCUGUUCCACCCACUCCGACCGCGGCUCACAUUUGCUUCUGAUGUGUGUGCUUGAGCUGGAGGCUGUUGGCAGGACUGACAUCCCUGUGGCAGAGGGAUCCCAUCCAACGAUCAAGGUAGCUAUCAGCGUCUCUUUGUUUAUGCUACCACGCUGAAUCGAUGUUCAAUUGUCAACGUUGCAGCGCCCUCAUCAAACACAGAGAAAAAAAUCAAAGAAUCGCAGUGAUCUAGCAAAGCCGCAAACAGUUGAGAUUGAGGGAACGCCAUCGAGAGGAUCAUACUUCUUGCGUGUUCAUCAGCAGCUUUCACAAGGCUGUUUUGUUCGUUCAUUUACUCUGUCAUCUGAAUUGCUGUUUCUUUUUCAUUUUCCCCUCGAGCACAGAAAGCCACCAAGCUGAGGAUCGCAAGCUUUGUCCACGGUUCAGACGGCCUGAGGAUCACAAGCUUCGUCCACGGUUCAGACGGCCACUGCGGAUCGAGGUGCGGCAGGUCGGGGCGCCGCCGCGGAUUGUAGGCUCGGCCGGGACUACUUCGUCACCAACGUCCUCGUAUGCUUCAAUGUUAAACAUUGUCACAGGUUCUCAUAUAUGGGUGGAAGAUAAAGAUUUGUCCAGGGUUGAUGGUGAGGUAUUUCGAAUUGAUGGCCAAAACGCCCAUGUUCGCACAACCAAGGGGAAGGCGAGUUUCUCGCACAACCAAUGUUGUUAACUGAAUAGUUAAACUGAAUAAAAGGUAUGAUGUUUCACAUUUUUAAUUUUAAAAAUUAUUUCUAUUAUUAUAGGCUAGAGGUUACCUCUACUGAAGGAGAUGACAGGUGUCUAUUAUUAUAGCAGUAAAUCAUCUUUGUUGCUCCUACUACACCCGUUUUGAGCUAGAAAUUUCGUACUUAAUCACCAUUACAAUAUGACAGGUGUUCACUACGGUUAUACUUGCAUUCACUUUGCAACCAAUACCGUCUCAGUUAUUUUUAAAAUGGUCUUUGACUAAUUCCUUCAAUGUACUACUGAUCUACUGCAUCCCUGUUAACCAAUACCAUCAGUCUUUAUUAAUUUGACUUUGCCUAGAAACAACAUAUGUGUAAGAUAUGCACAAAAGCACUUAUUGAGUUGAGUGGUAAUAUAUACGGCCAACUCCAAGGGAAUUUGAUUUUAUUACUCAACGUUUAUGCCUUUCAUUUACUACCUUCAUUCUUUUUUUUCCAGAAGUGUUUAGUGCAUCAACAUUGUUUUCAGUAAAUGUCUUUGAUUGUUGCCUUUUAUUGCUAUAUGUCGGGCCGUUUUGUUGCGUUGUUGUGCACGCGGUUGUAGGGAGGGCGUAUUGUGGCGGCUACGAGGGACCGAUGUUCCUGUGUGGCGGUGACAACGACACCGUGGAGCCAAGGCAAUGUCAGCAAGCUGAUUUUUCAGAUUGGAAUCUAUGGUUCUUUUUAAAGAUCGAAUAUGUUCUAUCAUCUUAAAAAGAUUUGUCAGAAUGUAAACAUUUGUUCUGAGGUCAUUUAGGCCUCAAACAGAAUUUCUUGGACUUAUUUUGUUGGAGGGAAUGGGACAUCUCGAGAUCUAAAUGUGUAUAAAAGAUCCAAAUGUGUAUAGAACAUAUAUUUUUAUGGGUAUCAAACAUGAUUGUGUGCAAAGCACGGACAUGGUACUAUAACAAUGAAACACAUAUUUGUACAUAAUUCAUCAUGGUAUUAUAUGUU